rnacentral:rRNA from 1 species
AUUGAACGCUAGCGGGAUGCUUUACACAUGCAAGUCGAACGGAGUGGCGGACGGGUGAGUAAUAUAUCGGAACGUGCCCAGUAGCGGGGGAUAACUACUCGAAAGAGUGGCUUAUACCGCCUACUAUUCGAGCGACCGAUAUCGGAUUAGCUAGUUGGGGGGGUAAAGGCUCACCAAGGCAAUGAUCCGUGGCGGGUUUGAGAGGACGACCAGCCAAACUGGGACUGAGAAACGGCCCAGAUUCCUACGGGAGGCAGCGGUGGGGAAUUUUGGAAAAGGGGGGAAGCCCUGAGCCAGCCAGCCCGCGUGGAUGAUGAAGGCCUUCGGGUGGAAAAGUACUUUAGGCAGGGAAGCGGUAUCUGCAGAAUAAGCACCGGCUAACUACGUGCCAGCAGCCGCGGUAAUAC